rnacentral:lncRNA from 1 species
UUCUAACACAAAACUAAUUACCUUUCUUCGAAAUAAUGGUUCUUUAAUCAUUUUAGAAUAUCAAUUAAUCAUUUUAGAAUAUCAAACAAUAAUGAUCGACGAAACUAACUUCGGGCCAGUUCAAAUAUUAUUGGGUUAGAUAACAUGGAUCAAUGAGUUAGAUGAGAUUACAACCUAUAAUUAUGAUAAAUAUAUUGUUAUAUUUUUAUACUACUCAUAAGUUUCAAUUAAAUGUUAUUUUAGCAUUUUAUUGUUACAUAAAUAAUUACAUUAUAAUUUAAUGAAAUUUAUAGAUAUAUAAUUCUAAUUAUUAACUGAAAAAUAAUUUGAUCUAAUAAAUAAUAUUAAUUAUCUUAGAUAUUAUUGCUUAAAUAAAUUGAAUUUUUAAUUUGUAUAAAAGGGUUAAAGUGAUAUUCUCCAUAAAACAGAUAAAAUACUCAAUCCGUUUCCGAAAGUAAAAUUUUGUAGAGCUUUUACGUUUAUUAAGAAUAUAAUAAAUGUUUACAAUUUAAUUUGGAAUUUAUUUUUCAAUACACUUUCUAAUAACUAUCAAUCAAUAAAAUUUAAUCAAUUUAAAUAUUCACAAUUAAUACUUCUCAAAAGUAUAUAAAAGUAUCUUAAAAAUAUAAAUUUUUUUUUUUUAUAAACCAAAAAUAAACUCUAAAAAAUCUUACUUUUUGGAAAAGUAUUACAUGUUACUAGGUAUUAAUCUUUCCAACUUUCGCUAUGAAACUUUGUUGACUAAACUAUCUUUAUCGCACAACUAAAAGGUAACUAUUAACAAAACAU